CUAACCUCUAAGCUACCUGCCACCUUUGAUGUAUAAUUUUGUGAUGUCAUCUUGCAGUCUGACUCUAAUUUAGUUCUGAGAAGGUCUUCUACGACAGUGUCUUCCAGGCGAAAGGCAUGUCCAUAAAAAGUACAAGCGUGUAAUUAUUCUCUUACAGUUUCUAUAACAUAGCUUUAUGUUAAUCUCUGCACUUCACUGUGAUUAUUAUGUUGUAGACACCAGGCAAAGGAAUGUGUGGCACAUCAGAGUGGACAGCGGCCAAAGAGUCGUCAAAAAAAUUAUCUGCUAAAGAUAAGGGCCUUGAGAUAGCAGUUUGCCAACAUGGCAUGCUCCUCAAGGUCCUCAACAUGUGCAGAUGUGAAAUAUAUGCCUACGCAGUGUACUUGCAGAAGGAGUUGUGUUCUGUUGGCACGGUGGGCUUCUUCUGCUGCGAUGUUGCAUGCAAAUACUGGCCAUAUUUGCAGAAGUCAUGCAGGCAUGCCCAGAGUUGGAGGAGCUUCUAAAAAUGCACCCUCUCCAUCAUGCAUGCGAAGGCGCAUACCUCUUGUGAGCUCAAAUGGGGAGGCCACAAUCAGCCUGGUACCAGCAACACAACCAGAGAAGGAAGUCAAGCAGGAUGUCAAUGAUGCUGUGCUUCAGGAGUGAGUUGCUGAGGUGCAGCAGUGGCCUGAAGCAGGAGAGGUAAAAUGCCGCCACCACCUGCUUCAGGAGCAGCCUGGUCUCCUGAGGUUGACACCUGACCCCUCACCUCUGAACCUAUCCAGGGAAAUAUGAUUUGCCUGAUGACACUCUAGUUGAAAUUUCGGCACAUUUGUUGCCAUGUUUCCUCACCUCCAUUUCUUCCGGUCCUAGACUAUGGCGACAUCAUCAUCAAUUCAGAAAUUGAUCUGAGGACCUCUUUACUGAGGAAUGUGGUUGUUCUACAUGAUUGUUUGUAUUUUCUAUGCUGCUGUGAUUUAUGUGUAAUUGUGAGUUGCAAAAGAGUCUUUGGUCUCAAUGGGCCUGGUAAAAUAAAUGAAGUAAAGGUCUUAAUAAACAUUCAUUAAGCACUAACAGCUCUGUGUCUGUGUUUCAAUCGAUUACAUACAGUGGUUGCUCCACUAAAAGUUUUGCAAUUAUGCUGCAGG
ensembl:lncRNA